CAUUAUGAAAGAUGUUGUUUUUUUGUUCUUUUGUGUUCUUUUUCACAUUCGAUACGUUCAAGCGGCAAACAUCAGCAUCACUUGACACAGUCAUUGUCGUUGGGGGCAAAUAGAAAAAGAAAUAUCUACCAAAAUGCAUAGUAGCGCCGGACAUAGACACGGAUACGGACAUGGACAUGAACAUGGGCUAGGACACAGACACGGACACGGACCCGGGUCGACCCGUUCCGGCCGUGUAAUGUAAUGUAAUGCGCGUGCUGCCAGCAAAAAUAAAGAAAAUGAUUGGUGGCCGAUGAGGACGAUGAACGACGGCGGUAAACGAGCAGCUUAAGGGGGCAAGGGGACGACGACUCUUUUGGCAACAACAGCUAAAAGUGGUGCUAGCAUAAGUGAAGAAAAAAUAAAAAAAAAAAAAAAAUGCUUGGAAAGAAAGAGAGAAAGAAAAUAUAUGUUUCAUGCCCCGAAGUGAGCGAAUCAAGAGGCAAACUUGAGCCCAUCGAUGGGAGUUCAAAAAUUGCCGAGGUCAGUCAGUGUGGAGAGUGAAUUGGGUGAUGCAUUGGGCGCAUGGAGUAUGGAGCAUGAACCAAAACAGACACUGGCAAAGGGCAAAGGGCAAAGCCGAUGAAAAGAGACCAAUAGCCAUGGCAAAGGCAGAGCAGAGGCAGAAAGCCAAGCCAUAAGAUAGCGAAAGGGAAAAAGUAAAGUGAAGUAGAAUCGUGUAGAAGGACCACAAGGAGUGAAAGGGUCUGGUCAAAUUACGCAGCUUGCGAUAUUAAUAUGGCAAACGGCCAUGAUUCGUUUGUGCCGAAAACCAACAAUCAAUUGGCUAGAGAUGAGCAAUUUAGCGAUGGCCAGCACAAUGAUCUGGCAACGUAUUUAGGGUAAUAGUGAUCUCUUAUCCUCGAAAGACUUUUCUUGGUUUUGCGCAGUCAGAUGUCUUUUUUAACAACAGCUUUAGCUAAAUUUCAAAAAGAGCACGCUAAAAAAAAAGCUAAAGCCUCUUUAUAAUGUGGCAACGCUUAGACACAUGACGUGGCAACGCCUUAUAGUAUCGCAUGUUGUAGCCGAUAUAUAUCGAAAUGUUCUCUCUAAUCAGGCACGUAAAGUGUAAGUGACGAAACAGGUGGGUGGGGGAUUGUUGGUACAUCAACAUCCAUAGCCUCCGGUCAAUUGAAACGACUCAAAGAGUGUUUUGGCCUGCGGGUUCCAUUUCUCUUUGCCCAUUGGCAACUUUUUCACUAACCCCACAUUCCGCCCCGUUCAGGAUCUACUGCACCUCCUUUCCUUUUCUUUCCAUUUUUUUUUAUCGACGCGCGGCCAUAUAAAUUUCACUCUGGCAAAUGGUUUUUAUUGGCAGCCGCGACUGACCUCUCCUCCCAACCGCCUGCUUCUUUUAGCCACUCGUGCUGCUGUUUCUUUGCUUCUCUUCUCAGCGUACUGCUUCUCAUCGACCGUUGAGACUGAGCUGAAAAAAGGUUAAAUUUGGAAAAUUGGUACGUGAUUGGAUUCAAAGCGCAAAAUAAGUGCGUCAGUUGGUUUGCCCCAUUCACUUAUGGGAAUGGAAAACAGACGAGAAAAAACAACAAAAAUAACAAAAAAUUGAAAGAAAGA